rfam:Brucella melitensis biovar Abortus 2308 chromosome I, complete sequence, strain 2308
GCAUUUUCGAGCCAAAAGUGCGAAGCGCCUACGCGGGGAAAUCAGUCCACUGGACUGAUUUCUGAUCCCGCUUCGAUGCAUUGGAAAAGGUGAUAAAAUAAAUAGUUAAGACGGUUCCAGCGACUCUGUUUUAACUGGAACUGCCUGGGCUUUGGGCUCAAUUGGAUUAGCCUUGCCAUUCGGCAGGGCUUUUCCAUAGGGAUUACGGGCAGCG